GGCGCAGGCCUGAUGCAGCAACGCCGCGUGAGGGAUGACGGCCUUCGGGUUGUAAACCUCUUUUAGCAGGGAAGAAGCGAAAGUGACGGUACCUGCAGAAAAAGCGCCGGCUAACUACGUGCCAGCAGCCGCGGUAAUACGUAGGGCGCAAGCGUUAUCCGGAAUUAUUGGGCGUAAAGAGCUCGUAGGCGGUUUGUCGCGUCUGCUGUGAAAUCCGGAGGCUCAACCUCCGGCCUGCAGUGGGUACGGGCAGACUAGAGUGCGGUAGGGGAGAUUGGAAUUCCUGGUGUAGCGGUGGAAUGCGCAGAUAUCAGGAGGAACACCGAUGGCGAAGGCAGAUCUCUGGGCCGUAACUGACGCUGAGGAGCGAAAGGGUGGGGAGCAAACAGGCUUAGAUACCCUGGUAGUCCACCCCGUAAACGUUGGGAACUAGUUGUGGGGUCCAUUCCACGGAUUCCGUGACGCAGCUAACGCAUUAAGUUCCCCGCCUGGGGAGUACGGCCGCAAGGCUAAAACUCAAAGGAAUUGACGGGGCCCC
rnacentral:rRNA from 1 species